rnacentral:lncRNA from 1 species
CUUUCUUUAGGACUCCCUUUUCUAUGUGGAAUGUUUUGCAUUUGUUUAGGCUAAACUUCAUGCAGAUGUCUUUUGAAAAUGUGUCCAUGAUUUGUAACAUUUGUUGUAAUUGUGUUUGUGUUAAGGUGUACAGUUUAAUGUCUUUUUGUUUUUUCAUUUCGGAGUAUACUAAAAACAGUGAUGCUUGUUUACGUUGUACCCAUCCCUCAAUCAGGCUGUUACCUGUCUUUUAUUCUAUAGGUUCAUGAUAGAACACACCCAUGGAAACUACUGAGACCGUGUGCUUCUACGUGAAAUUGCUUAUAUCAUGUGCCACAACUCCUACUUCAUUCCAGAAGUACCCAGUCUGCUAAUUCCGAACAGUAGAUGUAAGCUCUUCCGAUAGAUCGG